AUGCAAGUAGAACGCUGAAGCUUGGUGCUUGCACCGAGCGGAUGAGUUGCGAACGGGUGAGUAACGCGUAGGUAACCUGCCUCUUAGCGGGGGAUAACUAUUGGAAACGAUAGCUAAUACCGCAUAAAAGUCGAUAUCGCAUGAUAUUGAUUUGAAAGGUGCAAUUGCAUCACUAAGAGAUGGACCUGCGUUGUAUUAGCUAGUUGGUGAGGUAACGGCUCACCAAGGCGACGAUACAUAGCCGACCUGAGAGGGUGAUCGGCCACACUGGGACUGAGACACGGCCCAGACUCCUACGGGAGGCAGCAGUAGGGAAUCUUCGGCAAUGGGGGCAACCCUGACCGAGCAACGCCGCGUGAGUGAAGAAGGUUUUCGGAUCGUAAAGCUCUGUUGUAAGAGAAGAACGAGUGUGAGAGUGGAAAGUUCACACUGUGACGGUAACUUACCAGAAAGGGACGGCUAACUACGUGCCAGCAGCCGCGGUAAUACGUAGGUCCCGAGCGUUAUCCGGAUUUAUUGGGCGUAAAGCGAGCGCAGGCGGUUAGAUAAGUCUGAAGUUAAAGGCUGUGGCUUAACCAUAGUACGCUUUGGAAACUGUUUAACUUGAGUGCAGAAGGGGAGAGUGGAAUUCCAUGUGUAGCGGUGAAAUGCGUAGAUAUAUGGAGGAACACCGGUGGCGAAAGCGGCUCUC
rnacentral:rRNA from 1 species